rnacentral:tRNA from 1 species
GGCUUCAUAGCUCAGUUAAUCAGAGCGUCACACCGGUAUUGUGAAGUCACGGGUUCAAACCCUAUAGAAGUCC